rnacentral:tRNA from 1 species
GGACCCUUAGCUCAGUUGGUUAGAGCGACAGACUCAUAAUCUGUGGGUCGCAGGUUCAAGCCCUGCAGGGUCCA